CUGUGCAACUUGUUUGAAGGAACGCGAAAGGCAACUGAAACUACAAGUAGCCUACCAUCAAUUCUUUGAUUAAAAUCGCCGUUCUGCUGAAUGCUUUAUCCUGUUGAUGCAGGCCAUGGGUAAUCUUCAGGUUAAUUGCAGCAACUUGGGACUUGGGAGAAGUCCUGUGAAAAGACACAGGGCACAUGACCAGAUUUGUGUUUUUCUGAAUGUUCUAUUCAAGUAGUAGUUAGUUGGAACCCUAACUCAAACACAGACAACACAUUGCUGCUGCCUUAUGGCCACAGGCAGGAAAAUGAUUCUUUUCUUCAGAAAAUUGGAAAGCUGUUUGAGUAAUCUGGUAUUCAUCCUCACUUGAUUCAUUUCGUGCCAGUUAGUGAAAGGCGCGAAGAAUUCAAGUUUAGCUGCUGCGUGCUGUCAGCAAGCAAGCAAUCCAAUUGAUGUCCACCAGGUGGCGCAAGUGUCUUCAAGUCCCAAAUUCGGCCAUUUUGUUCCUUGACGUAGCAGAAGUGAGAUGCCGGUCGUGACGUUUCCCAAAAUGAAAAGGUGAUUGAUCUUACCACUUUGCCAUCUGAAUUGAAAAUGCCUGUACAUUUGCCGAAAUGUCGUGCCUCGUGUGUCUCGCUGCCUGUACCCAGUCGUACGUCUCAUCCCAUGCAACAGCAAAAGUCUUACAACCACGCUGCUGCAGCCAGAUGCCCAGAUGGUGAUAGGUGUGAUGAGGAAAAGUUCAACCGUUGUAUGCAGGAUGCCUAGGUGUUAUCCAGAAGUAGCUGUGCUGGAGUUAUCCCGAAGCAGCUGUGCCAGAAUUUUUCCAGAUUGCUGACUUCAAUAUUUUACCUAUUUCAUUUGUGUUUUUUGCUUUACAAGUGGUAUCCCGUGUUGCUGACUUUAAGAAUUUUUAUCCCUUUUUAUUUGUGGUUUUGCUCUGCCAGUGAGUUUUUGACUUGAAUUGGUUUCAUCUGUUGUCUUUUGUCUUUUUACUUGGGCAGUAUACGACUGUGGCAAACUGAUUCUAUGUCAGUUUUGAUACAGUCGACAACUGCUAGAUUAAAUUCCGGCUUUCCGCACCAACAAAAUAAUAACGGCACAUGUUAUUAUCG
rnacentral:lncRNA from 1 species